AUUGAACGCUGGCGGCAUGCCUAACACAUGCAAGUCGAACGGCAGCACGGCAGUAGCAAUACUGUGGGUGGCGAGUGGCGGACGGGUGAGGAAUACGUCGGAAUCUGCCCAGUCGUGGGGGAUAACUAGCCGAAAGGUUAGCUAAUACCGCAUACGACCGAGAGGUGAAAGCGGGGGACCGCAAGGCCUCGCGCGAUUGGAUGAGCCGACGUCGGAUUAGCUAGUUGGUGGGUAAAGGCCACCAAGGCGACGAUCCGUAGCUGGUCUGAGAGGAUGAUCAGCCACACUGGAACUGAGACACGGUCCAGACUCCUACGGGAGGCAGCAGUGGGGAAUAUUGGACAAUGGGCGCAAGCCUGAUCCAGCAAUGCCGCGUGUGUGAAGAAGGCC
rnacentral:rRNA from 1 species